UACGUAGGGUGCAAGCGUUGUCCGGAAUUAUUGGGCGUAAAGAGCUCGUAGGCGGUUUGUUGCGUCGGCUGUGAAAUCCCGAGGCUCAACCUCGGGUCUGCAGUCGAUACGAGCAAACUAGAGUGUUGCAGGGGAGACUGGAAUUCCUGGUGUAGCGGUGAAAUGCGCAGAUAUCAGGAGGAACACCGGUGGCGAAGGCGGCCACC
rnacentral:rRNA from 1 species